rnacentral:pre_miRNA from 1 species
GGGGGGAGAGUUCGGAUCCUGGGCUGUGUCCUGGCGCCCUGUGCUCAGGGGCCUGGGCUGUUGGAUUCGCGCUCCUGGGCGGGCAGCCCCCU